CAAUAGCGUAUACUAAAGUUGUUGCAGUUAAAAAGCUCGUAGUUGAAUUUCUGGUCUUGGACAUCGGUCUGCCUCAAACGAAGUACGCACCUGUUGUCUGAGACCAUCCUCGGGGAAAACGUAUCUGUCAUUAAGUUGAUGGGUUCGGGAUCCUCGUCAUUUACUGUGAGCAAAAUAGAGUGUUCAAAGCAGGCUUAUGCCGUUGAAUACAUUAGCAUGGAAUAAUAAGAUAAGACCUUGGUCUAUUUUGUUGGUUUGUACUCCAAGGUAAUGAUUAAUAGGGAUAGUUGGGGGUAUUCGUAUUCAAUUGUCAGAGGUGAAAUUCUUGGAUUUAUGGAAGACGAACUACUGCGAAAGCAUUUACCAAGGAUGUUUUCAUUAAUCAAGAACGAAAGUUAGGGGAUCGAAGACGAUUAGAUACCAU
rnacentral:rRNA from 1 species